CGUUUCACCAUCUCCUUGUCUCCCUUCUGUGCAGCUCUGCCGAAAUAUUUCAGACUGAAACAUCUGUGCUUUUGGAUGGUUCUAUCUUUACAGGCCUGGCUGCAGGAACUGACUAACCGCGCCCCAUUACAGUGAAGUAGAGAAACUCAGCCAAAGACUGGUUGGAGAGCAAUGGUGUACCCCAAAUUCAAAGCCAGGGCUGCCAGGAAAAGAGGAAUAUAGGGCGUCUGCUUCCUCCUCACUACAUGGAGCGACUUGAGAAACUGCAAGUUGCUUCUGGUGUGAGAGAAUUGGCCGUCUGCAAGGAUGUUGCCAAGUAGACGUCCGGAUGUUUUGAUGUUUUAACAUCCUUGUGGGAGGCUUCUCUCAUGCCCCUGCAUGGAGAGCUGGAGUUGAAAGGAGCUCAUCCACGCUCUCCCUGGAUUUGAAUCAGCAACCUUCAGGUCAGCAACCCAACCUUCAAGUUAUCAGUCCUGCCAGCACAAGGGUUUAACCCACUGUGCCACUCCAAACAGUAAAGGCCUGGAUAUAAUGGGCUAAGAAGUGUCUGGGAAAACAAUUAUCUCAUUGUAAUUGAGAGCAUCCCUGGUGGCUCUUUUGGAUAUGGAGAAAACAAAGAGAAGCGGACAGGCACUGGUGAAGUUGUGGAAAGCCAAUGGAGGCCUGACUAGUG
rnacentral:lncRNA from 11 species